AUUAUGCUGUGUCCUUUUCUCCAUUGCCUUUCUCCAUGAUUUGGACUUGGAAACCAUUUGGGAAUUGUAAUCCUGGAGUCCGGACUAUAUUUCCUCCUCCAAUUUGACUCCACCUGAAGAAGUUCAGACCUUUACUGAAGCUGACCCUCCAUCUCCAAGGAUUGAAAGCCAAAGGAUCUUCAUAUUUUGCAGGGUUUAGAUGCACAGCUGGGGGACAAACCAUAACUGCCCAAUCUGCUGGAAUUGUAUAUCCUGUAUUGAGACCAAAUAUACUUUAGAUUUACCAUAACAUUAAAUGGUAACAUUCUAUGAAACCAUAUAGAAUUAUUACUUAUAAAUAUGUAAACAUACAUACCCUUAAACUGGAUAUCUCUUAGUGUUUUUCGGAAGAUACCAGGAACUAUAUUUGCUAGUCUGACUGUUUCAUUAAUGACCUGCAAAUUGAACCAGUCAGUAUGAAGCAAAAAGAGAUAAAACUCAGAUAAAAUGCUAUAAUGUGUACAUGUCUAACUCACCUGAAAUGUAAAUGUCAUUGAUUUGUAUUCUUUCCAUGUAA